rnacentral:rRNA from 1 species
GACCUACGGGGCGCAGCAGUGGGGAAUAUUGGACAAUGGGGGGAACCCUGAUCCAGCGACGCCGCGUGAGUGAAGAAGUAUUGCGGUAUGUAAAGCUCUAUCAGCAGGGAAGAAAGAAAUGACGGUACCUGACUAAGAAGCCCCGGCUAACUACGUGCCAGCAGCCGCGGUAAUACGUAGGGGGCAAGCGUUAUCCGGAUUUACUGGGUGUAAAGGGAGCGUAGACGGCGAUGCAAGUCUGAAGUGAAAGGCGGGGGCCCAUCAUCCGGACUGCUUUGGAA